rnacentral:rRNA from 1 species
GCAUGAAGUUGGAAUCGCUAGUAAUCGCGGAUCAGCAUGCCGCGGUGAAUACGUUCCCGGGCCUUGUACACACCGCCCGUCACACCAUGAGAGUCGGGAACACCCGAAGUCCGUAGUCUGACCGCAAGGGGGACGCGGCCGAAGGUGGGUUCGAUAAUUGGGGUGAAGUCGUAACAAGGUAAC